rnacentral:rRNA from 1 species
UGAACGCUGGCGGCGUGCCUAAUACAUGCAAGUCGAGCGAACGGACGAGAAGCUUGCUUCUCUGAUGUUAGCGGCGGACGGGUGAGUAACACGUGGAAAACCUACCUAUAAGAUUGGGAUAACUUCGGGAAACCGGAGCUAAUACCGGAUAAUAUUUUGAACCGCAUGGUUCAAAAGUGAAAGACGGUCUUGCUGUCACUUAUAGAUGGAUCCGCGCUGCAUUAGCUAGUUGGUAAGGUAACGGCUUACCAAGGCAACGAUGCAUAGCCGACCUGAGAGGGUGAUCGGCCACACUGGAACUGAGACACGGUCCAGACUCCUACGGGAGGCAGCAGUAGGGAAUCUUCCGCAAUGGGCGAAAGCCUGACGGAGCAACGCCGCGUGAGUGAUGAAGGUCUUCGGAUCGUAAAACUCUGUUAUUAGGGAAGAACAUAUGUGUAAGUAACUGUGCACAUCUUGACGGUACCUAAUCAGAAAGCCACGGCUAACUACGUG